UUGACAUAUAAUAAACUGUGAUGAUCCAUACACAUGAAUUUUUUACAUUGGCUAUAACAAAACGUUGUCAAUCGACGUUUUUUUAUAAUUGCAGAAGGCACAAAUUUUUUUCUGAGAUCCACAGGGUUUUGUUUGAUCAGCAGAAGAAGUUUUCACAAAGUACUUCUGCAAUUUUAUUUUUUAAGCAUUGUGUCAAGCUUCGCAUUUCACGGUGCUGGCGUAACCAUGCAUCAGACAGCUUCCCCGAUAUUUCUUUUACAAUUGAUUGAUGAGAUAUGGGUUUUUUGUUGUUAUUAAUUGCAUUAUGCACAUAAAUAACAUAGGAAUUGAUUAUAGACUAGGUUUGACAGUGACGC
rnacentral:lncRNA from 1 species